rnacentral:rRNA from 1 species
AGAGUUUGAUCAUGGCUCAGAACGAACGCUGGCGGCAUGCCUAACACAUGCAAGUCGAACGAGACCUUCGGGUCUAGUGGCGCACGGGUGCGUAACGCGUGGGAAUCUACCCUUGGGUUCGGAAUAACAGUUAGAAAUGACUGCUAAUACCGGAUGAUGACGUAAGUCCAAAGAUUUAUCGCCCAGGGAUGAGCCCGCGUAAGAUUAGCUAGUUGGUGGGGUAAAGGCCUACCAAGGCUACGAUCUUUAGCUGGUCUGAGAGGAUGAUCAGCCACACUGGGACUGAGACACGGCCCAGACUCCUACGGGAGGCAGCAGUGGGGAAUAUUGGACAAUGGGCGAAAGCCUGAUCCAGCAAUGCCGCGUGAGUGAUGAAGGCCUUAGGGUUGUAAAGCUCUUUUACCAGGGAUGAUAAUGACAGUACCUGAGAA